GACGAACGCUGGCGGCGUGCCUAAUACAUGCAAGUAGAACGCUGAGGAGAGGAGCUUGCUCUUCUUGGAUGAGUUGCGAACGGGUGAGUAACGCGUAGGUAACCUGCCUUGUAGCGGGGGAUAACUAUUGGAAACGAUAGCUAAUACCGCAUAACAAUGGAUGACACAUGUCAUUUAUUUGAAAGGGGCAAUUGCUCCACUACAAGAUGGACCUGCGUUGUAUUAGCUAGUAGGUGAGGUAACGGCUCAACUAGGCGACGAUACAUAGCCGACCUGAGAGGGUGAUCGGCCACACUGGGACUGAGACACGGCCCAGACUCCUACGGGAGGCAGCAGUAGGGAAUCUUCGGCAAUGGGGGCAACCCUGACCGAGCAACGCCGCGUGAGUGAAGAAGGUUUUCGGAUCGUAAAGCUCUGUUGUAAGUCAAGAACGAGUGUGAGAGUGGAAAGUUCACACUGUGACGGUAGCUUACCAGAAAGGGACGGCUAACUACGUGCCAGCCGCCGCGGUAA
rnacentral:rRNA from 1 species